CAGCAAGAGGGGAGAGAACGCACGAGAUCACCCCAAGGCAAAAAUGCAGCUCUCCUUCCUCCGGCGAGCUCUCCCCCCGCGCCGGCCGCGCGCCGCCUCGCCUUUCCCCUUCACCGCCGUGAUCCGCCCUCGUCCCUUCUCCUCCGCUUCCGCCGCGCCGGCGCCGGCGCCGCCGCCGUCACCCAAGGACGCGCGCAAUGCGCCGCCGUCGUCGCCAAUGAUGCCGACGCGGCCUUGGGAGGAGGCGCUCGCGGCGUCGCAGCGCGCCUUCGGCCUGCCGCUCGCGGGGCGCGUCCUCGCCGCCUCGGCGACCGGGAACGCGGCCGUGUCCCCCGCCGCGGCCCACGCCUCGCUCGCGCUCGCCGCCGCCGCCGCGCGCGGCGCGACGCGGAGGCAGCUCCUGCAGGUGCUGGGCUGCGGCGGCGGGGGCAGGGGCGCCGCUGCCGACGCGGCGAACGUGGCGUCGCGCGUCGUCAAGCGGGUGCUCAAGGACCGGUCCCCCUCCGGCGGGCCGCUGCUGCGGUUCGCGGGAGGAAUCUGGGCGGACGCCUCGACGAAGCUAUCGCCGGGGUUCGUGGAGGCCGCCCGUAACGUGUACGGCUCCGCGGCGAGGACGGCCGACUUCGUGAACGAGCCAGAAGAUGCUGCAAAGCAAAUUAACUUGUGGGUUAUAGAGUCCACGAAACGUACAGUUACAUCGCUGCAACCGGAUGUGUCAUUUGACCAGAAUACUGGACUUGUUCUUGGCAGCGUACUAUAUUUUGGGGGAAGAUGGCUUCAUCAGGCUGAUAUAAGGAGCACUGCAGCGCAAAAGUUCUACUGCCUGGAUGGAGCUUAUGUUGAUGUCCCUUUUGUGGAAUAUGAUAGAACUCGACUUUUUGCUGUCCAUGAGGGAUUUAAAGUCAUUAAGCUGCCUUAUCUGCAAGGAAAGAAUGAACGGAAGUUCUCCAUGUAUAUCUUCCUGCCUGAUGCUCAUGAUGGUUUGUUUGAAUUAACCAAGAAAAUUUUUGCUGAACAAUUAUUCUUAGAACAACAUUUGCCAACAGAGAAGCGCCAUGUGGAUAUCAGGGUGCCCAAGUUCACAGUAUCUUUUCAGAUUGAUAUGAAGGAAAUUCUCAAAGAAAUGGGCCUUGAAUUACCCUUCCAUCGUGAUGCAGAUUUCACAGACAUGGUCAAGGAUGAUGAAUCCAGUGGCCCUUUGUUUUUAUCUGAUGUACUUCAUAAAGCGGUUUUGGAGGUUAAUGAUACACUGAUUGAAGAGGCUUCAUUCUCAAUUGGCAUAGGCAAACCUUCACCGGCGGAGCACUUUGUUGCCGACCACCCCUUCUUCUUUUUCAUUAGGGAAGAGGUGUCUGGCUCAAUAAUCUUCAUGGGGCAUAUACUGGACCCUUCAUCACAACCAUAACUUCUGGUUCUGGGCUUUUAUCAGCAAAUUAAGGUCAGAUUGUCUUCAAUGAUAGCAUGUAAAGCUGUGUCGCAAGCCUGGGACAGCAUUUGCCUCGUAUUGAUUAAAACAAGAAGAAUUUCUUUGCCACGGACACAUGGACUGAAAGGUAUUGCCAUCUCAUUGCUUGACAUUAUAGCUGGGGCAAGAAGCAUUAGGAAUGGUAAUGUCGUAAUGAUAGGUAUGCUCAAGUUGAGCAGACUAACCCUGCUGACAAAAUAAGACACAAUAUAGUUAAACAAAUAGUAGAAAUACUGAUGGUGGGAGAAUGCCCUUGAAAUGAAGAGUGGGAUGCAAAUUCAGGGGAAAAAAAGAUGCAGUUCUUUUGUUCAUUCCCCUUGCAUGUGAUGCGCUAAGAAAUGGUUGCUUCUUCGAUUUUGUUUGCAUAUUGCAACAUUCUGCUUCCAAUUUAAUCAGGGCAACCAUUUCUCGCUUAA